GGGGAUGUGGCUCAAGUGGUAGCGCACUCGCUCACCUGGCAUGCGUGAGGCACUGGGUUCGAUCCUCAGCACCUCA
rnacentral:tRNA from 1 species